UACGAAGGGGGCUAGCGUUGCUCGGAAUCACUGGGCGUAAAGCGCACGUAGGCGGAUUGUUAAGUCAGGGGUGAAAUCCUGGAGCUCAACUCCAGAACUGCCUUUGAUACUGGACGAUCUCGAGUCCGGGAGAGGUGAGUGGAACUGCGAGUGUAGAGGUGAAAAUUCGUAGAUAUUCGCAAGAACACCAGUGGCGAAGGCGGCUCACUGGCCCGAUACUGACGCUGAGGCACGAAAGCGUGGGGAGCAAACAGGG
rnacentral:rRNA from 1 species